rnacentral:lncRNA from 1 species
UUCUCCAUAGAUUGGUAGCCACUGCUAAUCGGAUUGUGAUUCUCAGAUCUUUCAGCAAGCAACUAUGACUGCGCUGAGGAGAAAAUCCAUUCUGCUGACAGGUUAUCUGGAAUACUUGCUCAAACAUUACCAUGGCGGAAAUGACACAGAAAACAAGAGGCCAGUUGUGAACAUAAUCACCCCAUCCAGAGCAGAGGAACGAGGCUGCCAGCUGACACUGACCUUUUCCAUUUCCAAGAAAGGCGUUUUUAAGGAACUAGAAAAAAGAGGAGUCGUCGUAUGUAUACAAGUUUUUGUCUUGCAUUUCACCAUGGUUUCUCUUCCGGUUCCAGGUUGAGAUAAGUCUUAGGUUACUAAAGUUAUCCUUUAUUGCAUAUCCUUCUAGUCAACCCGUCAGGAUAAGUCUAACAUGAACGUAGCACUCAGCACCAUCCCUCAUGGAUAGCCACAAGGGCAAAUCUUGCUACUGAGAAAUAGUCCUGUGUUACUGAUUCAGCUUUUUAACAGAUAGGCAAGGAUAUGCUUUAUCUGACUCAGUGAAGACAAAGUUUUCACUAGCAUAUAUAUAUAUAUAUAUAUAUAUAUAUAUAUAUACUUUCAUACAUAUCAGGUCUUACACAUAUGGAGUAAUUUAUAGAGUUAAUGAUAAACCUUUUAUGCCUUGUUGAAAAAGUAAUACAACCUACCCUCUUUUGGUUGACUAAACUAAAUUACUCUCAUUUUAUCAGUUCAACCUAAAACAAUGUGGUGACAUUUCUCAG